GCGUAAUUUAUUACGAGGAAAGUCCGAGCACCACAGGGCAAAGGUGCCGGGUAACCCCCGGUGGAGGUAACUCUAAGGAAAGUGCAACAGAAAGGAAACCGCCAAACCUUGUUUGGUAAGGGUGAAAGGGCGAGGUAAGAGCUCACCGUCAAUCAGGCAACUGAUUGGACUUGUAAACCCCACCUGGUGCAAGACCAAGUACGGACAGAAAAGCAACGGCCCGUUGUGUCCAAUGGUAGGUCGCUUGAGCCGGUCGGCGACGAUCGGCCUAGAUAGA
rnacentral:RNase_P_RNA from 1 species